CCCUUAGAUGUUCUGGGCUGCACGCGCGCUACACUGAAGCGUUCAACGAGUAUUCACCUUGCCCGGGAGGGUUGGGUAAUCUUUUGAAAACGCUUCGUGAUGGGGAUAGAUUAUUGCAAUUAUUAAUCUUCAACGAGGAAUUCCUAGUAAGCGCGAGUCAUCAGCUCGUGCUGAUUACGUCCCUGCCCUUUGUACACACCGCCCGUCGCACCUACUGAUUGAAUGACUCGGUGAAAAAUUGGGACUGUGAGAACAAUUGAUUCAUUUCAAAUGUACUCGUGGGAACUUUUUUUAACCUCGCCAUUUAGAAGAAGGUGAAGUCGUAACA
rnacentral:rRNA from 1 species